rnacentral:rRNA from 1 species
CCUACGGGGUGCAGCAGUGAGGAAUAUUGGUCAAUGGACGAGAGUCUGAACCAGCCAAGUAGCGUGAAGGAUGACUGCCCUCUGGGUUGUAAACUUCUUUUAUAAAGGAAUAAAACGUGGCACGUGUGCCUUUUUGAAUGUACUUUAUGAAUAAGCAUCGGCUAACUCCGUGCCAGCAGCCGCGGUAAUACGGAGGAUCCGAGCGUUAUCCGGAUUUAUUGGGUUUAAAGGGAGCGUAGAUGGGUUGUUAAGUCAGUUGUGAAAGUUUGCGGCUCAACCGUAAAAUUGCAAUUGAUACUGGCAGUCUUGAGUACAGUAGAGGUAGGCGGAAUGCGUGGUGUAGCGGUGAAAUGCUUAGAUAUCACGAAGAACCCCGAUUGCGAAGGCAGCUUACUAAACUGUGACUGACAUUGAUGCUCGAAAGUGUGGGUAUCAAACAGGAUUAGAUACCCUAGUAGUC